UUACCAGCUUAUCUUAAUGUGUUUCACAGAAAUUUAGAAAUAUCUGGAAAAAUUGAUACCAUUUUAUGAGCCUUAAAGACAACGGAGGUCAUUAUGGUCCCUCAAAUGGCUGUCAUA
rnacentral:snoRNA from 1 species